UACAGAGGAGCCAAGCGUUGUCCGGAUUGACUGGGCGUAAAGCGCACGCAGGCGGUCUGGCGCGUGGGGUGUGAAAACUCGGGGCUCAACCCCGAGCCUGCAGUCGAUACGGGCAGACUAGAGUGCUGUAGGGGAGACUGGAAUUCCUGGUGUAGCGGUGAAAUGCGCAGAUAUCAGGAGGAACACCGGUGGCGAAGGCGGGUCUCUGGGCAGUAACUGACGCUGAGGAGCGAAAGCGUGGGGAGCGAACAGG
rnacentral:rRNA from 1 species